ensembl:misc_RNA Metazoa_SRP Metazoan signal recognition particle RNA
GCUGGGCAUGGUGGCGUGUGCCUGUGGUCCCAGCUACUUGGGAGGCUGUGGUGGGAUGAUCACUUGAGCCCAGGAGGUCGAGGCUGCAUUGAGCUGAGAUCAUGCCACUGCACUCCAGCCUGGGUGACAGAGUGAGACCCCAUCUCAA